GGGGAGAGGCCGAAGAAGAGACUGAAGAAGGUGGACGUGUGCUGGACUGCUCGUAAGACCACCGGGGUGGUCCCAGGUGCGACGGCCGGAUGGGUCGAUUGGUUCGUUGAUUGAGCUCCAACGAGUGCACUAAACAGACUGAACUUUGAUAAGUGGCGCCUUUUGUUUUUUUCCUUGUGUAUAUAUAUUGUAUUGCUUACUACUCUUUUUAAUUUUAGUAAACUCUUUAAAGUGUA